GGAGAGGUGGCCGAGUGGCUGAAGGCGCACGCCUGCUAAGCGUGUGUGGGGAAACUCACCGAGGGUUCGAAUCCCUCCCUCUCCGCCA
rnacentral:tRNA from 2 species